CAUCGACACAAAUGCUGCCUAUUAUCAGUGUGCAGUCAUGAAAUUUAUUUUCCUUCACCAGUAGUCAACACUGGUCCACACUGGUCAACGGGCAUUUUGGGGCUUGUUUUCUUGAUUGAAUCUAAGAGUGAAAACCAAACUAACAUUGGGAGACAACCAAACUGAACACAAUGGAAAUAAAAGCGUGAACUGUGUAUUUUCAGGUCCUCGGGAGUAGGCAAGGCUGGAGUGGGCCAGGGCUUGAAGGGUGAGUUAGCAUUUCUUAAAGAGCAAAGAUCUGGGAGAAAAAGGAAUCAGCGGGAGCGAAGGCUUGGAAGAGCCAUGGGUAUGGCUCAGAAUUUGGAAGUGAAAAUUAUGGAGGUUCUAGGAGCUGCAUCAUUCUGACUGGAACUCACAGGGUUCACUUUUGGGUAGUCAUUAACAUUUACUAGGUGACCUAAUAACGUAUUCAUGUAAUGGAAGGUUUGCUUAAGGUUUUGCUUAACAGAGCUAAGUAGGUUUUCUCUGUUCCUAAACUCUGUCUUCAGUGUAUAUUAUAGUGAAUGGACUCAGGGAAGAUUUCAUUGGAGGUAUCUUUGCCAAUAACUCCAGAACAAACCUCCUCUUAAGAAAAACCCCAAAGGGAGAUGUAUAGGAAAUUGUAAAUUGAAGUAAGUUACGACACCCUUCUUCAGUUUCACAACAAGUAUUGGGCUUUCAUUCACCUAACCACGUUUCUCUGGAAUUUUUUUGCCUUAGGCUGAAAGCUACGGGGAAAUUCUUUACCCUACAGUCUCCUUAAGAACAGAGUCUUCUCUUUAAAACAUGCCCUCACCUGUCUCCCUGCUAAAUAAAUGACUUCCUGCUCUUUUGUAUCCGUGGUUAAUUUUUAUUUCUUCUAAUGUUGUUUUGUUUGGGGUUAUACUUUUUCUACAGUGUGAUAUUUAAGGGGAUCCUAUUAUCAAGUAAAUUUGAAUUUCAUGAAAUUACUGAUAGUUGACCACUUUUUUAAUCUACAAAAAAAUGACAGUUUCAUAUUG
rnacentral:lncRNA from 1 species